GAGAAGGGCAAAACAUUGUUCUUUUUCAAACAAUUACAUUCUUUAGGGGUCAUAAAUUAAUUAGUAAACCAUUUCCAGUCACAGUGGACUCCGAUUACAAAGUUAUCGCCAUGCAAAAAUGUUCAGAAAUGUUUCUGGUUUUUUUGCAUUUUGUCACAUUACAACCACAAACUCCAAUGUAGCAAAAUGAUUGGUGGCUUUUAAAAUGUUUUACAAAUAAAAAUCUGAGUGUGGCACGGAUGUGUAUUCAGACCCCUUUACUCUGGUACCCUUAAAUAAAAUCCAUUGCAACCAACUGCUAUUAGAAAUCGCCCAAAUAGUAAUUAAGAGUCCACUUGUGUGUAAUUUAAUCUAAGUAUGUAUGCAGCUGUUCUGUAAAGGCCUGAGAGGCUCGUUGGAGAACACUAAUGAACAAACAGCAUCGUAAACCAAGGAACACAGCAGACAGGUCAGAGAGAAAGCUGUACAGAGGUUUAUAUAACAAUAUCCCACCUAACACCAGGACAGGUAAGGAGAGCAUUCAGAAGAGAAGCAGCCAAGAGGCCUGUGGUACCUCUGGAGGAGCUGCAGAGAUCCAUUCCACAGCUCAGGUGGAAGAAUCUGCUCACAGGUGAAAUAUUAGUCGCGCACGCCACACACCAGCGGUUUAUGGUAGAGUGGCUUAAAGAAAACAAUUGUUCAAACGAAGCCUGAAAUGUUCAGUUUUAAAGUUUGUUGGCAGAGAAAUACUAAAGUGUUUUCCACAUUUUUCAGAUUUUUAUUUGUAGAAAUGUGGAAAACCGUACAUCCUUUUCCACCCACUGCAGAAUUAUGCACUACUUUGUCUUGGUAUGUCCCAAUAAAUCCAGAUAAAAUGAUCCAGAUUAACCUUUGUGACUUUUUGUAACACAACAAUAUGUGGAAAGGUUCAAAGCGUACGAGGACCUUUGCAAGGUACAAAUAGAUGAUUUUCUGCUCAUACACAUUCCACCCUGGCUUCAUCUGGGUUACCAGCGACAACCUUUUUACUAUCAUGCAACAGGUUUUAUAGAUCCAAAGAGCAGUUCUUGGUUAAAUUGAACUGAAUGCAUAUAGGCCCACAUAGUUGGGUCCAGAGGUACUCUGGUGGGACACAUUUUGAAGUUACAAGUUAACAGAAACUUGUAGACUGAAUCUGAGCAUAUUUCUGAUGAUGCCAGGCUACAAAGCUUUAGUGGUGUUUGUUGUUUAGAGUUGUAAUUAUAGUUCAAGAAGACGUAUUAAGAAGAGCGAUGCGGAGUAGAUGCAGGUGGAGGGGUGUGUCUUCUCUCUUAUUCGUCCACCUCUCAGUCCACAAUAAGCUGAGACCACACUGCUUCUCAACAAGUGGCAGAAACAAUCUGGCAGAGUGGCUGAAGCCGGGCGCCACCUCGGGCCCGGCCCUCUACGGUCCGGUAAGGCCCCUCUGUGCUCUCCUGGCAUGCUGAUCAGAGGAUUAGGGCCCGCUGGCGACGUCAAGUCAAGAGCAUGCUGAAGAAAGAGAAAGGCAUGCAUGCAACAUGAGCUCCAUGCUGGUUUCACACGCACCCACAUCCACUUCAGAAUGGGAACAGACCUGGAGCAUGAGGACCACACACCUGCUGCACCAGACGCAGCUUUUUAGCAAAGUGUAAAAUACAUCUGCCUUGCAAUGUUUGCUAAGAGAAGCAUGAAAUAAUAUAUAUUUAUUACCAUUUAACCAGAUAAAAUGUUUAAAAAGCA